AUCAAGACCAAUGCAGAGAAACACUGGAGAGGGUGGAGGGUACCACAGGAAGUUGUAGAUGCAUGCUAGUUAGCAUGACAGCGGUGGCCACCGGGGUCUCUACGCACGGGUCUGCGAGGACCGUCCCAGGAAGACACCAACAGACGCCGCCUCCUGCUCCUCCUGCCUCGCCGUUGAGGGCCGUCCCGGAGCUCAGUCCACGGUCUUCUUCUUGUAUUGGGCACUGCCUCAUCACUCAUUCUUAUUCGGCGAGCGGGUUUUAGCCUCUUCAUCAUCUGGCCCCCGUUGGUUUUGCACAGCUAGGUUGAAACCGCUAACGUCUUUUCUUUCGUUUUUUCGUUAUCCGAGGUCCAUUUAAAUUCCGUUGCUCGUUGGGCUUUGCAUCCAGAAAGAGAGAAAGAGUGGAGGGGAGAAGCACACACAUUCCGGUUCAGACAACGUGACUGCAUGCCGUGAGCGACGAGAGCCGCUAACGUUAGAUGUCUGAAAUAAGCAGCAGCAGCAGCAGCGAGCGAGGCUGAAAAGGAAAGCAACGCUGAUUUGGGAUUUCACCCAGAAAUACAACCGGCACAGCAAGGUUUUCCACGGAACAGGAAGCCAAACUUCAUGGCAGUCAGGAAUCCCUGAACAACACACAAACACACACACACACAUACAUUUCAUCAUGAAGUAAAAAACUGGGAGUAAUGGUUUGUGUCCAGGGGGUCCAGGUUACACAGAAACACACAUACAUCAAAACCAGUUGUUAUAGCAGCAGUACAAUGUAACUUGGAUCAGUGUGUGUGUGUACAGGUGAGUUAAGCUGGUGUUUAUGGGGCAUCAGAUGAACAUGUGCAGGGCAGACAGCCGAAGGGCACUGUAGGAGUCCUACCCUUGGAUUACAGUUUGGUAGAUUAGAGCUAAGCAGCAGUCACCAGCCUCAUGAAACAUACGCUGCCAGCCAAUAGGGCGUGCACGCAUAAACACGCACACAGAGGCACAGCUAUAGAACACAAUUAAAUUAGUGCAACUGGCAGAUGAUGUGCAACCCAAGCUUAACACCAUACACACAUUAAAUCACAGGCACAAAGACGUGCACACACACACACACACACACACACACACUCACACUCAGGGCUGCAGGACAGAUGCAUGCCCCCGCUGCUUCCCGUUGUCCUCUCAAAGCCCAGCUGGAGAAAAGAUGAGAUUUGGGGCUGAUUGGUUUUGUCUUUUUUUCCGUCGCACCCUCUGUGUAUCACUCCAUCCACCACUUUCGCCUUUCUUUGGUGCAGCUUCGUCCCUGGAUGAACCAUCAUCAUAAAAAUCUUUCCAUUGGAAGAACAUCGGACAAUCCGCUUGUGAUGCUUUAAUUACUUCUCCCAAAGUUAUUUUUACUUUCGUGUUUUUUCAUCUUUGUGGGCAUAGAGUGGAGCAGUGACAGGACGUCUUUGUUGUUGGACUGUUUUGUGAAGUGUGGGUACUAUAUCAGUUAGACUUGGCAGAACCCCUCAACUGCAGUACUGACAUCUAGAAGGGGACAGUGGUGAAUGCUGUACUCUCAUUGGAACAGUGUCAUGAAAUCUUCUGCCACUCUCUUAGUGUGUUGAAUCUUUUUUCAUUACAUUAAGAUUUCAUCAUCCACCACAAAGAAUUAAAACUUUUUAUCCCCAACAUUUUAAACUUUGUGUCUGAGGAAAGUGUGGAGAGGGACGGCAACAGAGGAGUGCUUUAAACUUGACACAAUUGCUAUUCAUCAAGAAGCUCCCAGCGCCUCAGUGAAACAGACAAUGGACUGAAAGGGGUGAAAGAGGAAUAGAGAGACCUUGAGACAGAGAGAGACUAGGCAAGAUGAACCUUUAGAGAAAGGCAAAUAGAGGAGUAACAAAACAGAAGAGAGAAUACUGAGAACAGCAGAUAAUAAAGGAAUCAAGCAGAGAAGGAGAAAAAAAGACCAAGAA